rnacentral:rRNA from 1 species
CAGCAGCCGCGGGAAUACGGAGGGUGCAAGCGUUAAUCGGAGUUACUGGGCGUAAAGCGCACGCAGGCGGUCUGUCAAGUCAGAUGUGAAAUCCCCGGGCUUAACCUGGGAACUGCAUUUGAAACUGGCAGGCUAGAGUCUUGUAGAGGGGGGUAGAAUUCCAGGUGUAGCGGUGAAAUGCGUAGAGAUCUGGAGGAAUACCGGUGGCGAAGGCGACCACCUGGGCUCAUACUGACACUGAGGUGCGAAAGCGUGGGGAGCAAACAGGAUUAGAUACCCGUGUAGUCCCUGUCUCUUAUAC